AGGAUGAACGCUGGCGGCGUGCUUAACACAUGCAAGUCGAACGGUGAAAGAGGAGCUUGCUCCUCUGGAUCAGUGGCGAACGGGUGAGUAACACGUGAGUAACCUGCCCUUGACUCUGGGAUAAGCGUUGGAAACGACGUCUAAUACCGGAUACGACCUCCGAAGGCAUCUUCUGGAGGUGGAAAGAAUUUCGGUCAAGGAUGGACUCGCGGCCUAUCAGCUAGUUGGUGAGGUAAUGGCCCACCAAGGCGACGACGGGUAGCCGGCCUGAGAGGGUGACCGGCCACACUGGGACUGAGACACGGCCCAGACUCCUACGGGAGGCAGCAGUGGGGAAUAUUGCACAAUGGGCGCAAGCCUGAUGCAGCAACGCCGCGUGAGGGACGACGGCCUUCGGUUGUAACCUCUUUAGUAGGGAAGAAGCGAAAGUGACGGUACCUGCAGAAAAGCACCGGCUAACUACGUGCCAGCAGCCGCGGU
rnacentral:rRNA from 1 species